CUUGAACGCUGGCGGCAGGCCUAACAAAUGCAAGUCGAGCGGAGCGGCGGACGGGUGAGUAAUGCCUAGGAAUCUGCCUGGGAGUGGGGGAUAACGUCCGGAAACGGGCGCUAAUACCGCAUACUAUCAGAUGAGCAGCGUUCGGAUUAGCUAGGUGGUGGGGUAAAGGCCUACCAAGGCGACGAUCCGUAACUGGUCUGAGAGGAUGAACAGUCACACUGGAACGGAGAAACGGUCCAGACUCCGACGUGAGGCAGCAGUGGGGAAUAUUGGACAAUGGGCGAAAGCCUGAUCCAGCCAUGCCGCGUGUGUGAAGAAGGUCUUCGGAUUGUAAAGCACUUUAAGUUGGGAGGCGUUACCAACAGAAUAAGCACCGGCUAACUUCGUGCCAGCAGCCGCGGUAAUUC
rnacentral:rRNA from 1 species